UCUCUCUCUUGAUCUAUGAAAUCAAUGUUUUAAGGCAUUCUUACUUGAUCCUCAUUUGCAGAGAUUCAGAGAUGCAGUGAUUCAGAGAUUCAGUGAUUUCAGAGCGAUUUCCAUUUCGAAGCUCCAUCGCCACCACCAUCUGCACCGGCGAUUUUGAUUUCACUAACAUCACUCAAGCAAAGGAUGGGAAACCAGUCACUAUUGAGCUUAUUGAUGCCAAGACAAAAGAACUGAAAGAUACCUCGGAGAUAAUUUUUAGCUCUAUGAUAUUGGUAGCAGAUUUCUUGUUCUAUUAACAGAGCGGCGAAAUUAAAAGGUCCUUUCCUUUGUGGAUGUAAUCAAGUAGUGGAAAUUGAGGUUUUUGUUGUAUUUUUGCUCCCAUGUAACAAUGGUUCUCUCCUUUAUGGAGUAAGCUUGAAAACCCAAUUUGAGACAACAACUGACUUUUCUACCUCACUUUCUGUCCAUGCUUUUUUAUUUAUCUAGUUUGUUGUACCGCACCCUUUACCACAAAAUUCAGUUGUUUUGCUACAGGUAGAUGCGGCAUUAAUUGCAACUAGAAGGGGUCCAUUUACAAAAGGUCUUGGACUGGAGAAUGUAUGUCGUGUUAAUUGAUAAUAUGCAUGAGACAAUGUUGAAGUGUUGUAUUGGUUUUUUUGUAGAUCAAUGUAGUGACACAACGGCGUUUUGUUCUAGUAGAUGAGCGUGUGCAAGUUAUUGACGCAAAUGGCAACCUGGUUUGUUAUCUAUACAUUCCGUCAUGGACGAAAUUUUCUGUAUGGUUUUGCAACUAGUUCUUGAAACAAUACUUUUACCAUUAGGUUCCUCAAUUGUAUUGUAUUGAUGAUGCAAAUGAGAAAAUGAUUCUUGUUUAUGCUGCUAGUGCACAAGGGAUUUUUGGUAUGUGGUUAUUACCUUGCUAUUUGCUACUUCAGGCUAUAUGCUUACAUUUUACACCUAUUGCAUAUUUAGCGUUGCUCUCUUCAUAUAGUUGUUGAACAAGUCAAUGAAAAAGAUCAUGUGCUCAACCAUUUGAGCAUUGCAACAGCUUGUUUCACUCACCUAGAAAUUAGUAAUGGUUGGACUCACAGAGGUGAAUAUCAAAUUUUCCAAUUCCCAUACCAAACCCACAAAUAGAAUAAAAUAAAUAAAAAGGGAUGUGUGCAUUUUUAUUGUCUCUUUUGUUCUUAUUGGGUAGUGAAAUAAAAAAGCGUACCCACCAUAUUCUUGUAAUUUACCUAUAGUUGACUAACAUCUAAAAUUUUGCAGCCUCAAGCGAAGGAGAGAGCUGAAAUAGAGGGGUUUGAGAUAAGUGUUGCCAAGACAAGUUUUAAGGCUAACACAAAGGCUCUAGCAGAAAAUGAAGGGGAGGGACUGGCUAAGUUAAUAUACAGACCUGACAACGGGGAGAUACUUGGCGUUCAUAUAUUUGGGUUGCAUGCUGCAGACCUUAUCCAUGAAGCAUCCAAUGGCAUAGCAUUGGGGACACGUAUCUAGGUCCACAGGUGUAAUA